AGGGUUUGAUCCUGGCUCAGAAUGAACGUUGGCGGCGUGGAUUAGGCAUGCAAGUCGAACGAGUCUCUGGGGGGUAACUCCUAGAGGAAAGUGGCGAAAGGGGCAGUAAUGUAUGGGUAACCUACCUUGAGGUCUGGGAUAGCCAUUCUAACGGAUGGGUAAUACUGGACGGCCUAAGUUGUCGGCAUCGAUGACUUAGUAAAGGUUACGCCUCGAGAGGGGCCCAUAUGAUAUUAGCUAGUUGGUGGGGUAAUGGCCCACCAAGGCAAAGAUGUCUAGCGGGUGUGAGAGCACGACCCGCGUCAUUGGCACUGAGACACUGGCCAAACUCCUACGGGAGGCUGCAGUCGAGGAUCUUCGGCAAUGGACGAAAGUCUGACCGAGCAACGCCGCGUGUGCGAUGAAGGCCUUCGGGUUGUAAAGCACUGUCGAGGGGAAACAAGCCGUAAGGUUGAGUGACCCCUGGAGGAAGCACGGGCUAAGUUCGUGCCAGCAGCCGCGGUAAGACGAACCGUGCAAACGUUAUUCGGAAUCACUGGGCUUAAAGGGCGCGUAGGCGGGUGAUCAAGUCAAUGGUGAAAUCCUCCAGCUUAACUGGAGAAGUGCCUUUGAUACUGAUUGUCUAGAGGGAGGUAGGGGCAUGUGGAACUUCAGGUGGAGCGGUGAAAUGCGUAGAUAUCUGAAGGAACGCCAGUGGCGAAAGCGAUGUGCUGGACCUCUUCUGACGCUGAGGCGCGAAAGCUAGGGGAUCAAACGGGAUUAGAUACCCCGGUAGUCCUAGCCCUAAACUAUGGGUACUAGAUUGUGGACUUUCAUGGGUUCACAGUCGAAGCAAAAGUGUUAAGUACCCCGCCUGGGGAGUAUGGUCGCAAGGCUGAAAC
rnacentral:rRNA from 1 species